GCCCCAAAGAGUGUGCUUGCAAACCACCCGAUCACAGACCGAUCAUUGUUCAAACGGUUCCCCGCAUCCAUUCAGGCGCAUAGAUGACCGACAGAUUGCGCACUGUUGCACACAGUGUCACGACUCCACAGGUUUCCGAUCGCACUUCAAAGUCCGGGCGCUCUCUCGGCUAUAACGAAUUUUAAACAACAUGCAUUUAAUUAUUUCCUAUUGGUCAAAUCCCUAAUUAAUACCUAAAAGCUACAGACGGCGAUUGCCAAAGCGCCGGAGUCGAACCGAUUUCGCUUUUAAAUAACAUUCCAUUGCGGGUAAGAGCAGAGUUUGUGAAUCGCCGAGAGCAUUUUUUCAUGCCAACGGCAAAAAUAAAUUUAAAAAAUGUAACCUCACCCCCCAACACAUUGUGUCUCUUUUUAAAUCACUCCGACUGGGGAAAAAUAAGACAUUAAAUUCUUCCGCUUUGUUACAUUUGGAAAGGGAGUCCACAGGUUACCUGUUGUAAUGACAAAGCAACUGACGGGGGGUAAAUCUGCUGGAGCAGCCCCCGCCGAGCCCGGGGCUCCAGCCUCCCACACCGAAGGCAGUGGCUUCAGAGGCAUCGCCGACAGGAUGAAGCCCUAUAGCUAGAGACAAGAUCCUCGUGUCCAUUAUGACAUCCCGGGUGGUCCAUCCCCCACACUCACGCCGCUUCCAAGAUUUCCAACUGCUGCGGCGGUGAACAUUUUUCAUCUCAUCCUUGUCGGCACGGAGAUGCCGAAGCCAAACGAUGCAUUUCCCGGGUGGCAGAUCUGCCUGCUCCAGAAAGGACUCAUAGAGCAUUGUUCCUAAAGGCAGCCCAUAUCCAGAAGGAAUCCAGGGGAUGGUCGGUAUUAUAGCCCCUGGUGGCAAUGGAGUUAAAGAGCAACUGAGUCCCCUGGAUUAGAAGCAGCCUAUAUGAGUAAAUGCUUGUUCAUGGACGUUUUACUUACACAAAAAUGUUC